UGCUGUUAAACUUUUCAAAAAACCAUAAAGUGGGUGAUGCCGUUAUAUGGGAGCCACAUUAAAACGGGAACCUAUAUAGACAAUUUUAUACUUCAAAGAUUGUUAUCUACCAAAUCUUCUUAAAUACCAAAUUUAAAACAAUUUCGUGGGAAAAUGCGACAAGGAUUAUCAAUAUCGGUGGUUACCGUUAUAUGACCGCUACACGAAAACGUGGAUCUAUAUUUACAAUGUUCCGCCACCGGAGCUGGAACUCAUUACGAGCAACAAGUACCAUUUUUGACAAAUCCGUAAAAAACUGUGACUAAAAACAUAAAAAUACCGAAUAUCCGGAGGUACCGUUAUGUGGGGCUAUACGAAAGCGUGGACCUAUAUUUACAAUGUCCCGCCACCGAAGUUAAAACCCAUUAUGACGUACAAAUGCUAGUUUUUAAUCAAAUCCGUGAAAAAAUGCGCCGAAAAUCAUUGAAAUACCGAAUAUUGGAAGGUACCGUUAUAUGGGGGCUGUAUGAAAGCGUAUAGCCGAAACUCCCGAUAUAUAACAAUAGAUGUAGCGGAAACUGUUAUUAUCGAAUAUACGGCAUUUUUAAGACUUUUUACCAACCGAUUUCACUGGCAAAAAUGGAAGUGGGAUUCUUUAAUUUUUGAAGGUGUCUUUACUUCAUGUUGGAGGGAAUCAACAUUUCGACCCGGCCGAACUCAACGCGUUUCUUUCUAAAUUUACAUAAAAUAAAAUACUUUUAUUUUAUUAGAUGUAGAAAAUAUACACAUUAGGUUGCAAAUCGAAUGAAAAAAAUAAUAAAGUUCCCAUAGUAUGGUGAGCUUGAUAGUGUUUUUUCUAUGGUUUGUUCAAACAGUCUUUGUUGCGAUCUAUACGCUAAACGACGUUUAUUAAAAAUAUAUCAUGGCAUCUUUAAAAUUGUUUUUGGUAUGUGCUGUCUUGGCCCUUUUCUGCAAUUCUUCCUCUGGUCGUCCAAGAAAUGCCAUUAUUCCCAUUCCAUUGCACAGGCAUUAAAGUCUUACCGUCAGAGGAGAAGGACAUAUUACUCACUCAGCGGAUUCCGACGGCAAGAAACAUGAAAAUCCUAAAGUUGAUGAUGAACACAAGAACCCCAGUUCUAUUGACGAAGAAUUUGGGUCUAAGGAUGCUUCCUCCAUGAGCAAUGAAAAUGCGGAUGUUUAUGAUGAAUACAAGGAUCAACCAGCAUAUGCCCCUGAAAGGACUAGAAACAAAGAUGGUGAUAUGCU